CGCAGCCGCGGUAAUUCCAGCUCCAAUAGCGUAUAUUAAAGUUGUUGCAGUUAAAAAGCUCGUAGUUGAAUUUCGGGAUUGACGUGAUGGUCGUGCCUUAAGGGGUAUGAACUGUCGCAGUUGAUUUCUCACCUUCUGGAGAAGCUUGAUGUCCUUAAUUGGGUGUCAUGUGGAACCAGGACCUUUACCUUGAAAAAUUAGAGUGUUUAAAGCAGGCAUUUUGCUCGAAUACAUUAGCAUGGAAUAAUAGAAUAGGACGGCAUGGUUCUAUUUUGUUGGUUUCUAGGAUCACCGUAAUGAUUAAUAGGGAUAGUUGGGGGCAUUAGUAUUCAAUUGUCAGAGGUGAAAUUCUUGGAUUUAUUGAAGACUAACUACUGCGAAAGCAUUUGCCAAGGAUGUUUCCAUUAAUCAAGAACGAAAGUUAGGGGAUCGAAGACGAUCAGAUACCGUCGUAGUCUUAAACCAUAAACUAUGCCGACUAGGAAUCAGACGAUGUAAUUUUUAAUGACUC
rnacentral:rRNA from 1 species